rnacentral:rRNA from 1 species
CAGCAGCCGCGGGAAUACGUAGGGUGCAAGCGUUAAUCGGAAUUACUGGGCGUAGAGCGUGCGCAGGCGGUUUGUUAAGACAGAUGUGAAAUCCCCGGGCUCAACCUGGGAACUGCAUUUGUGACUGGCAAGCUAGAGUGUGGCAGAGGGGGGUGGAAUUCCGCGUGUAGCAGUGAAAUGCGUAGAUAUGCGGAGGAACACCGAUGGCGAAGGCAGCCCCCUGGGCCAACACUGACGCUCAUGCACGAAAGCGUGGGGAGCAAACAGGAUUAGAUACCCCCGUAGUCCCUGUCUCUUAUAC